GCGGACGGGUGAGUAAUGCCUAGGAAUCUGCCUGGUAGUGGGGGACAACGUUUCGAAAGGAACGCUAAUACCGCAUACGUCCUACGGGAGAAAGCAGGGGACCUUCGGGCCUUGCGCUAUCAGAUGAGCCUAGGUCGGAUUAGCUAGUUGGUGAGGUAAUGGCUCACCAAGGCGACGAUCCGUAACUGGUCUGAGAGGAUGAUCAGUCACACUGGAACUGAGACACGGUCCAGACUCCUACGGGAGGCAGCAGUGGGGAAUAUUGGACAAUGGGCGAAAGCCUGAUCCAGCCAUGCCGCGUGUGUGAAGAAGGUCUUCGGAUUGUAAAGCACUUUAAGUUGGGAGGAAGGGCAGUAAAUUAAUACUUUGCUGUUUUGACGUUACCGACAGAAUAAGCACCGGCUAACUCUGUGCCAGCAGCCGCGGUAAUACAGAGGGUGCAAGCGUUAAUCGGAAUUACUGGGCGUAAAGCGCGCGUAGGUGGUUCGUUAAGUUGGAUGUGAAAUCCCCGGGCUCAACCUGGGAACUGCAUCCAAAACUGGCGAGCUAGAGUAUGGUAGAGGGUGGUGGAAUUUCCUG
rnacentral:rRNA from 1 species